rnacentral:rRNA from 1 species
GAUGAACGCUGGCGGCGUGCCUAAUACAUGCAAGUCGAGCGAACAGACGAGGAGCUUGCUCCUCUGACGUUAGCGGCGGACGGGUGAGUAACACGUGGAUAACCGACCUAUAAGACUGGGAUAACUUCGGGAAACCGGAGCUAAUACCGGAUAAUAUAUUGAACCGCAUGGUUCAAUAGUGAAAGACGGUUUUGCUGUCACUUAUAGAUGGAUCCUCGCCGCAUUAGCUAGUUGGUAAGGUAACGGCUUACCAAGGCAACGAUGCGUAGCCGACCUGAGAGGGUGAUCGGCCACACUGGAACUGAGACACGGUCCAGACUCCUACGGGAGGCAGCAGUAGGGAAUCUUCCGCAAUGGGCGAAAGCCUGACGGAGCAACGCCGCGUGAGUGAUGAAGGUCUUCGGAUCGUAAAACUCUGUUAUUAGGGAAGAACAAAUGUGUAAGUAACUAUGCACGUCUUGACGGUACCUAAUCAGAAAGCCACGGCUAACUACGUG